GACCACAGCUCAAAAUUGGCAAAGUAGAGUGUCAGUGACUUGAUUGCAAUACAAUUUUUGAACAUUUUUCUUUUUCUGAAUAUAUUUUGUUAAAUUCAAGUGAUGGAUAAUUCAAGAUCAGUUCUUGGACAAUCAAUGAAAAGGGAAGAAAAGAAAAAAUGGAUUCAUAAAAUAAAUUUCAUGUUACAAUUUACUUGCUUAGCUCUAGUUAUAAUAGACACAAAGGAAAAAGUUGAGGCCUACAAGCCAUCUGUGUGUGUGCAUAAUGUGAAGGCUGGCAAUGACAAGGAAAUCCAGAUUACAACUGGAAAACCUGCAGGCUUUAACAAAUCAGUUCAAAGAGGCUUUCAGAACCCAAUUCUUCUCCUUCAGAACUUGGGAGAGGCCUGAAAAUGUGUGAGACAGUGCAAAAAGUGAUCACAGUUUUACAGCUGCAAGCCACAGGGCUGGCUUACCCUUAGAUUGAUCCACUAGACAACUCUGAUGGACGGCAAUCUCCAGAGGUUGACCAACAGUUCUCUUCCACAAUACAUCUAGACUCCAACUGAGCAGACAGUGGGAACUGGAAGCAGAAUGACCCUUGUAUUGGAGUCUCAAGACAGGGGAACAUUGAUGGAGGAAAUCAGCCUUGGUACAGUCUCACCCACGGGAGCUGACCCUGACAUGAAGGAUAUCCCAAGCCUUCUCUUGUCUUGGAAAGAGCUUACUGGAACAGCCCAGAACAAAGUAGGUGAGGAAGCUAACUGUGAGGAAGCAAUGUCCUUGAUUAAGGGUGCAGUGUUUGAUCUUGUUCUUUGGUUGUCUUUUAUACAGGUGUGUUACUAUUUUCUCCUGGGUGAGAUUCUUUACCCUCUGUUGAGGUAUGCUUGAGAGACUCAGAACAAGGUUUAGAAGAUACAGGUAACCUGGUAACCAUGGUAAAUCUAAGGUGCUAGCAAAGGUACUCCUAAAAGUAAAAUGCUGUCAGUAGAGAAAUUAAUCUUCUUAGACUUAAAAUUAUGGUCCUUAUUUGGCCACUACCAGCCAGAAGACAAUCAUUCUAAGGAGUUCUAUAGAUGCAUUGAUGAGGUAGUGAGUACUCCUUAUGGAACACAAACUUCUUGACCAUAAGUGUUGAUUUUCAUUGGAUUUCAGCAUUGUUUUUGACAACAGAAGUGCCUAUGAACUCUGCUUUGUGGGUAACCUGACUGUUGUUUACAUGUGACUGUUUCUUCUGUGCAGAGGAGCAGCAUUUUGCUCCUCUUUGCUCUGACAGCUUAAUGCCGUGGGCACAAUAUACAUUAGAAACAUACUGUGGCUUGAAUUGGAGAAAUGCUGGAACUGGGAGUUCUGCAGGUGUGGUGGUUUUACUCAGAUGGGCAGCUGAGCUCCAACACGAAUGCUCUCUCACUCCUCCUCCUCAAAGGAAAAGGGGGAGAAAAUAUGAUGAAAAGGGCUCAAGGGUUGAGAUAAGGACAGGGAGAUCUCUCAGCAAUUAUAGUGACAGGCAAAACAGAUUCAGAGUAGGGAGAUUAGUAAAAUUUAUUGCCUAACAGGCUAGAGAAGUGAGAGACAAAGGAAAGAAACCAAAACCAUCUUCCCCUCAUUCACCAUCUUCUGCCUCCUCCCCCCGAGCGGCACAGGGGAACAGGGAAUGGGGGCUGUGGUCAGUACAUAGCAGUUUUUCUCUGCCACUCCUUCACAGUCACUCUCUGCCCCUGCUACAUAUGGGGUCCCUCCCACCAGAUGGGGUCCCUCCCACGGGAUGCC
ensembl:lncRNA